AUUGAACGCUGGCGGCAGGCCUAACACAUGCAAGUCGAGCGGAUGAAGGGAGCUUGCUCCUGGAUUCAGCGGCGGACGGGUGAGUAAUGCCUAGGAAUCUGCCUGGUAGUGGGGGAUAACGUCCGGAAACGGGCGCUAAUACCGCAUACGUCCUGAGGGAGAAAGUGGGGGAUCUUCGGACCUCACGCUAUCAGAUGAGCCUAGGUCGGAUUAGCUAGUUGGUGGGGUAAAGGCCUACCAAGGCGACGAUCCGUAACUGGUCUGAGAGGAUGAUCAGUCACACUGGAACGGAGACACGGUCCAGACUCCUACGGGAGGCAGCAGUGGGGAAUAUUGGACAAUGGGCGAAAGCCUGAUCCAGCCAUGCCGCGUGUGUGAAGAAGGUCUUCGGAUUGUAAAGCACUUUAAGUUGGGAGGAAGGGCAGUAAGUUAAUACCUUGCUGUUUUGACGUUACCAACAGAAUAAGCACCGGCUAACUUCG
rnacentral:rRNA from 1 species